rnacentral:rRNA from 1 species
GAUGAACGCUGGCGGCGUGCCUAAUACAUGCAAGUCGAGCGAACAGACGAGGAGCUUGCCCCUCUGACGUUUGCGGCGGCCGGGUGAGUAACACGUGGAUAACCUACCUAUAACACUGGGCUCACCUCGGGAACCCGGAGCCCAUCCCGGAUACUAUAUUUAACCGCAUGGUUCAAUAGUGAAAGACGGUUUUGCUGUCACUUAUAGAUGCAGCCGCACCGCAUUAGCUAGUUGCUAAGGUAACGGCUUACCAAGGCGACGAUGCGUAGCCGACCUGAGCGGGUGAUCGGCCACACUGGAACUGAGACACGGUCCAGACUCCUACGGGAGGCAGCAGUAGGGAAUCUUCUGCAAUGGGCGAAAGCCUGACGGAGCAACGCCGCGUGAGUGAUGAAGGUCUUCGGAUCGGAAAACUCUGUUACUAGGGAAGAACAAAUGUGUAAGUAACUAUGCACGUGUUGACGGUACCUAAUCAGAAAGCCACCGCUAAGCACGUG